CCUACGGGAGGCAGCAGUGGGGAAUAUUGCACAAUGGGGGAAACCCUGAUGCAGCGACGCCGCGUGAGUGAAGAAGUAUUUCGGUAUGUAAAGCUCUAUCAGCAGGGUAGAAAUAAAGUCCUUCGGACUUUGGACGGUACCUGACUAAGCAGCCCCGGCUAAAUACGGGCCAGCAGCCGCGGUAAUACGUAGGGGGCAAGCGUUAUCCGGAUUUACUGGGUGUAAUGGGAGCGUAGACGGCAGCGCAAGUCUGGAGUGAAAUCCCAUGGCUUAACCAUGGAACUGCGUUGGAAACUGUGCAGCUGGAGUGCAGGAGAGGUAAGCGGAAUUCCUAGUGUAGCGGUGAAAUGCGUAGAUAUUAGGAGGAACACCAGUGGCGAAGGCGGCUUACUGGACUGUAACUGACGUUGAGGCUCGAAAGCGUGGGGAGCAAACAGGAUUAGAUACCCCGGUAGUC
rnacentral:rRNA from 1 species